CUGGUAUUGUAUAUUUUAGUUCUAAAAUUCCCACUUGGCUCUCUAUAGCUUCCGUUUCUUUGAUGAGAAUUGUUUGUUUGUUUCAAGCAUGUUUGUAAUUGCUCAUUGAAGUGUUGGUAGGAUAGCUGCUUUAAAAAAUCUUUGCCAGAUAUUUCUAACAUCUCUGUCAUCUUGGUGUUGGUAUCUACUGAUUAUCUAUUUCCACUCAAGUAGAGAUUUUCCUGGUUCUUGGUAUGUCUAGUGACUUUCAACUGAAACCUGAACCUUUUGGAUAUUAUGAAACUCUGGAUCUUCUGUUUUAGCUGGCCCUUUUUGACACACUUUGACGGGGAAGGGCACCUAGUUGGGGGCACACCAUUACUGCCAGGUGAGGGCAGAAGUCUAGGUUUUCCACUUGGCCCUCAUUAACACCUGGAGUUGGGGAGGGUCUCCUUAUUACUGUUGGGUGGAGGUGUAGAGUUAGGGUUCCCCAGUAGGCCUCCUCUGAUACCCAGUAGGCCUCCACUAAUUACAUAUAUGUAUACACAUAUACACACACACACACACACACACACACACACACACACACAUCUUAUCUUAAUCCCAAAUAUGAUAGUACAGGAUAACAUUAAGGUUGUUUGACCUAAGGGCAGGAUUUAGUAAGUAUGUGAAAGAAAUCUCAGAAGAAUUCCCGCAACUGGGGUUAAUUAGCAUCCAAGAUGAAGUUGUUUUACCCUUCACAGGGGUGGAAGUCCAGACUUCCCAUAUGGUCUCCACUGACAUGGGGACAUGAUAUGGUGGGAAGGUCUCACUGCCUCCCACCAGGGAUGCUUCCUACGUGGCCUUUUCUGACAUCACCCUGGACAGAGUGUGCUUCCUUUACAGCUUGGCAGAUGUUAGAGGUCUAGGCUGUCCACUCGACAUUUGCUGGCAUGAAUGGGGGUGGGCCUGCAGUAUUUUCUGUGGUGUUUGGCUGGAGUAGACAGUUGUCUGAAAGCUUUCUGUCUUGCUAGGCUGCCUCUGUCCUGGUUCCUUGGCUAGAGAGAGGAGUUCUUUUUUGGAGAUUAUUUUUUUUUUUUGGUCUGAAUUCAGCAUUUCCAGGUAGCUGGCUUCUUCAGCUCCAAGUCAGGGAUCUAUGAAGCAAAGAGAAAACCCAGGGAACUCACCACCAUGGCAUUCCUUAGGUCCCAAGGUCUCUAGCUGGUCUGGCUUCGCUUCGUCUUUUAGAGUGUUAUAUUUGUUUUAUAUAUAAUGUCCAGUGUUUCUAGUUGCAUUCUGUGGGAGGCAUAGGGAGAAGUAUGUCUAUCUUCCCAGAAGCAGAAGUCUCCAAUACAAUGUGAUUUUAUUUAUGUAAAUUUUAAAAGUUGUAUGUAUUGUCACAGAUAUACAUACUUUUAAUAAAUGUAUGCAUAUAUAAACUGGAAGGAUAUAUAGUUAAUUCACCAUGGUGUUUAUAACUGAUCUUCCCUGAUCACUACCACCCAAUCUCUGUUUCCUCACACUUCUUUAGUUUUUUCUUAUGGCAUCUAGUAUUGUCUGCCCUCAUGUUGUGUGUUUAUUUGUUUAUUGUCUUUUUCCUCAUACUAGAAUGAAAACUCCAAGAGGGCAGGAACAUUAUCCAUCCUGCUCACUGUUGCAUCCUUAACACUUAGAAUAUGUAGUAAGCACUCAAUAAGCAUGUACUGAGUGAAUAAAUUAAUGAAAAAGUGAGUAAGAAAGGGGAUAAAAUGUAUCAGUACUUUCUCUGUAAUUAAAAACAAAACAUUUUGAAAAGACUGAGAAUAUCACCUCUUUCUCCAAUGAGAAGGCACAUGGAAAUGCAAGGGAGUAUGAGAAACACAGUUAUGGGCAGAAUAUGGACUCUUAUUUUAUAAGUCAAUUAAUCACAAAUACUGCUAUUUUAAGGAACCAAUUACUUGUAACACAACUCACAACUGAUCAAGACACACCAGUGGGAAUGAGUACAGCUGGAAAAAGCUCUCUAUUGUUUUAAUUCCUACUUUAUUAUUAUUGUUUUUUUAAAUUUUUUAAACAACUUUUAGGUUCAGAGGUACAUGUGCAGCUUUGUUAUAUAGGUAAACUCGUGUCAUAGGGGUUUGUCGUAGAGAUUAUUUUAUCACCCAGGUACUAAGCCUAGUACUCAAUAGUUAUUUUUUCUGAUCCUCUCCAGAUGCUGGCAAGGUUGCGGAGCAAAGGGAACACUUAUACACUGUUGAUGGGAGUGUAAAUUAGUUCAACCAUUGUGGAAAGCAGUGUGGUGAUUCCUCAAAGAGCUAAAAACAGAACUACUAUUUGACCCAGCAAUCCCAUUACCAGGUCUGUGAGGUGAAUGGCUGCCCAGUAAUCCUACUGCCAGUAUUCAAUGAGAAUACACAUGCUCACUUUGUUCCUGCCUGUGUCAACCGUAGCAGCUUCGCAGUCUUAACCACUGGGUCUAACCUUCUUGGCCUUUUCCUUUUACCUCAACUCUGCUCAGUCUCGAACUUGCCCUUCAUUCCUGACCUUUGAUUAUAUUCUCUCAGAGUUAACCCUAAUUCUGGCCUCCAGGGCUCCGUAACUAUUAUUCACAACCAACCCUUGGACGAAGCCUGAUCCCAGCUGUCCCAAGGAAUCAUCCUGUUUGGUCCAGACCUGACCCCUGGAUCCUGCCCCAUCACAGGCUCUUGAGGCUGGUUGGGGAGGGAAUGGAACUGGUUCAUGGGGCCUGGUUGUAUGCUUGAGGCUGACACUGUCAUAUAUAAUGAACCUAAGCCCACAUGGCACUGUCCACCCCAGCCAUGGCUGAAUCAGAGGGGAGGCCAAGAGUUUGUGAGUGGAGCACCAGAUGAGUCUGAUAGAAACUUUCAGACCCCUGUAGGUGGGGAGCUAGACUUGAGCUUCUUACAUAAACCCAGGAGGCACUGAAGACUGGUCCAUCCAUUAAACCAGAAGUAAAAAAAACAAAAACCAAAGACCAAAACCCUCUGCUAUCCAGUCUGGGAAAGCAGAAGAAGCUGCACUUUGCCCCGGUCAGUGGAUAGAAGAAGAGUUGCCUGUGAGCAAUUCGAGGCUGAGCCUGAACUGUGUGCGUGUGUGAAGUUCAGAUUCACACCACGUGAGUGAUGCAGGAACAUAAAGUCAUGCAGGAACUCCAGGCAAGGAGUGGAACAUAAACACUGCCCUGAAGCCCUCAGAAUCCCAGCAUAAGCUGAUGAGAAGCUAAAAGAUGCCUGCAUAUCCCAGGGUGCUGGAACUUCCAUGGAGAAUCACCCUGCUGAAGACGAGCUAGCGGGAAAGAUUCCAAGCCAUGAGAAGAAAUGAAUUCGUGAGAGGGAGCAGCCACAGACACACAAAUAAGAUUGCAUCCCAAGAAGGAGAGAUGAUAAAACAAUCUGGAAGAAACCUUAACAUAGGUACACAGAAGAAAGUGCUGGUGUCAUGAGAGCCAAGAGGAGGAGCACCUAACUGAUCAUUGAGAGAGUGACACCUGGUCUUAGGCUUAGAAGAGGAGUAGAAGAGAGCCAGUGAAGUCAGGGAAGGCUUCCAAGGCAAAAGGACCAGCAAAAGGGCAGCACAUUCCCCCUGUUCCCAGGUGGGUCCAGAGAUGUCGCCUGGGAGCCAGGGCCUGGAGUUCUGUUACUGUGGCUGAGCUUGCACCCAAGCUACAAGAUGACAUCCUACUCUUCCCUCACCUUUCUACAAGUAGAGGAGUCUCUUCUCAUGGCCACCAUUGUCCCAGGAUGUGAGGUCUGGAACAGCUGCAGCCAUUUUGCCACCAUGGGAAACCUGGGACAUCUGAACUGACUCCAUGAAGCCUGAAGAGAAAGCUAAUAAGAAGGCAGAGAGAAGAGGAAGAGUCUUGGUCUUUGGAAAUAUCUUUUGGAGCUGCUGGAUCAAGUAUCACUUGAAGUAUUAUUGAAUUUAUUCCCCGAAGGAGAGCGGCUAAGAGUAUUGCCCAGCCACAGGCUCUCAACCACCAACCCGAGCCUCAGAUUCUCCUCACACAGCCACAGCUGUACCACAUGGCCCACGUGGUAUGGUGCUAAUUCCUCUGACAUCUAAUUUUCACUUUUUGGCAAUAUUUGGUCUCAUCAAGCUUUACACAUAAAUAUUUUCAGCAAAGUGCUCCAAAUGCCUUUUUCAGAAAUCUGAAUCCACAUGAAAACAAUGGCAACAAGAAAAAGGUGUAAACUUUCCAGAACAGGCCCAGAAUUUGAAAAUGUGAUAAAGAGGUUAUUGUGCGCCCGAACUUUUCACACAAGAAUUGGAGGAGAUUUAACACAUGGAAUAAUAAACAGAGGAAGGCGGGCUAAUGCAGAGCAGAUGGGCCUGCAGGGCAGUGCUCAGCAUUUCAACAUCUUUCCCCUGGACCUUUGGACCCAAGGUGAUUGCAUGCUGGUGUCUUUAGCUAAAAAUAAAGUUAAUGUCUUUGGGGCAAUCAUAAAUAUGGCUGCUUCAGUUUCUGGGGUGAUUGGUGGUCUAAAGUUUUCAAGAACCUACUAUGUGAAAGGCAUUUGACAUUCACUAAUUUAAUCCCAACUACUACUCCAUUUUGAAGGAAAAAAAUGAAGGCUCUGAAAGUGUAAAUCGCUUACUGAAGGGCACACGGCCAGGAUGACAGCGGAGCCAGGAUCACCCCAGGUCUGUCUCAUUGCAUAUGUCAUGGCUCUGCAAACUGGGGCAAUAGGUGAGCAGGGAGAAGAGUCAUGGCCAAAUAAAAUUGAGACAUACCGAUACACACACACACACACACACACACACACACACAUUUACACGGUAACAGCCUUAUUAAGGUACAACUAAUGUACAAUAAGGUGUACAUAUUUAAAGGAUACUAUUUGAUAAGUUUUGACAUAUGUCUGUACCUGGGAAACCAUCACUACAAUCAUGAUGGUGAGCAUAUCUAAUACUCUCAAAAGUUUCCUCUUGCCUUUUGUAAUUCCAUUCUGCCAUCCCACCUGUCCCUCCCACUCCUGAUCCCAGGCAACCACUGAUCUGCUUUCUGUCACUAUAGAUUAGUUACAUUUUCUAGAAUUUUAUAUAAAUGAAAUAAUACAAUAUGUACUAUUUUUCUGUGUUUCUUUCACUCAGCAAAAUUAUUUUGAGAUUCAUUCAUGUUAUUGCUUGUUUAUUCCUUUAUAUUGUUGAGUAGUUAUUCCAUUGUAUGAAUAUGCCACAAUUUGUUUAUCUGUUCAUCUACAUAUGGACAUCUAUAGAUGUUUGCACUUUUGGGCUAUUAAAAAUCAAGUUGAUGUGAA
rnacentral:lncRNA from 1 species